AGGCCUGAUUUUUUCUAACCAGUUUAUACAAAUGACAACUGCGGUCCCAUCCACUCCAAUCUGUGGAUUUGGUGAACAUGAACAUCUAUCCUUUAAGCAUGACAUGAAUUUUGUUAAAUAUGGAAUGUUUUCCAGAGCUCACUCACCAACGGUAAUAUCCAUUUAGCAAUCUCUAUGGAGUUCAUCCUUUAUAUAAUUGCAUAGAGAAUGAUUUUAAUGCUCAUGGUGUUCUUCUCCUGAAUUCCAAUGCCCAAGAAACCACUCUUAGCCCAUAUCCUUCUUUAACAUUCCGGACUAUUGGAGGAAUUCUUGACUUCAACAUGUUUCUGGACCCCACUCCUGAAAAUGUCCAGCAAUACACAGAGAU